GAUCAUGGCUCAGGAUGAACGCUAGCUACAGGCUUAACACAUGCAAGUCGAGGGGAAACGACAUCGAAAGCUUGCUUUUGAUGGGCGUCGACCGGCGCACGGGUGAGUAACGCGUAUCCAACCUGCCCACCACUUGGGGAUAACCUUGCGAAAGUAAGACUAAUACCCAAUGAACAUCCCACGAAGACAUCUGAAUGGAUUAAGAUUUAUCGGUGAUGGAGUGGGGAUGCGU
rnacentral:rRNA from 1 species